rnacentral:rRNA from 1 species
ACGGGAGGCAGCAGUGGGGAAUAUUGCACAAUGGGCGAAAGCCUGAUGCAGCGACGCCGCGUGAGCGAAGAAGUAUUUCGGUAUGUAAAGCUCUAUCAGCAGGGAAGAAGAAUGACGGUACCUGACUAAGAAGCACCGGCUAAAUACGUGCCAGCAGCCGCGGUAAUACGGAAGAUGCGAGCGUUAUCCGGAUUUAUUGGGUUUAAAGGGAGCGUAGGCGGGUCUUUAAGUCAGUGGUCAAAGCGUGUGGCUCAACCAUACCACGCCAUUGAUACUGGAGACCUUGAGUGCACAUAAGGAUGGUGGAAUUCGUCGUGUAGCGGUGAAAUGCUUAGAUAUGACGAAGAACUCCGAUUGCGAAGGCAGCUGUCCGGGGUGUAACUGACGCUAAUGCUCGAAGGCGCGGGUAUCAAACAGGAUUAGAUACCCUGGUA